AAAAAGUAUACUUUUGCACGGUUUAUAUCCAACAUCGGAUCGUUCGUCUUGUUUAAAAUUUUUUUAUGAUUAAUAUUUUUAUUGUGAUUAGAUGAUAAAACAUGAAUAGAACUUUAUGUGUGACUAUUUUUUAAAUAUUUUUAUAAUUUUUCUAAAUAAAACGGACGGUCAAACGUUGGACACAGAUACUCACGGCUGCAUUUACC
rfam:Oryza nivara chromosome 7, whole genome shotgun sequence.